UGCCCCAGUAACGGCGAGUGAAGCGGCAACAGCUCAAAUUUGAAAUCUGGCUCUCGGGCCCGAGUUGUAAUUUGUAGAGGAUGCUUUUGGUGAGGUGCCUUCCGAGUUCCCUGGAACGGGACGCCAUAGAGGGUGAGAGCCCCGUCUGGUUGGACACCGAACCUCUGUAAAGCUCCUUCGACGAGUCGAGUAGUUUGGGAAUGCUGCUCUAAAUGGGAGGUAUAUGUCUUCUAAAGCUAAAUACCGGCCAGAGACCGAUAGCGCACAAGUAGAGUGAUCGAAAGAUGAAAAGAACUUUGAAAAGAGAGUUAAACAGUACGUGAAAUUGUUGAAAGGGAAGCGCUUGUGACCAGACUUGGGCUUGGUUGAUCAUCCGGGGUUCUCCCCGGUGCACUCUUCCGGCCCAGGCCAGCAUCAGUUCGCCCUGGGGGACAAAGGCAUCGGGAACGUGGCUCUCUCCGGGGAGUGUUAUAGCCCGUUGCGUAAUACCCUGCGGCGGACUGAGGUUCGCGCAUUCGCAAGGAUGCUGGCGUAAUGGUCAUCAGUGACCCGUCUUGAAACACGGACCAAGGAGUCGUCUUCGUAUGCGAGUGUUCGGGUGUCAAACCCCUACGCGAAAUGAAAGUGAACGCAGGUGAGAGCUUCGGCGCAUCAUCGACCGAUCCUGAUGUUAUCGGAUGGAUUUGAGUAAGAGCAUACGGGGCCGGACCCGAAAGAAGGUGAACUAUGCCUGUGUAGGGUGAAGCCAGAGGAAACUCUGGUGGAGGCUCGCAGCGGUUCUGACGUGCAAAUCGAUCGUCAAACAUGGGCAUG
rnacentral:rRNA from 1 species